rnacentral:lncRNA from 1 species
GCAAACGGUAUUCUGGGAUACUGCCAUAUGAGUGUGUGCAGGAUGGUGUGAGCUCCACAUUUCUUAAUAUGAAGAGGGAGGUCGACUCGGUCAUAUGAUAAUGAACUGUUACAUAUCUUUUCUGUGGGAGUGGAAUGCCACGGGAAACUGUGCCUAUUCGUGGCAAGUUCAAGAUAAAAUGCAUAUGUCCUUGCAAUGAAGGCACACUUAUUUAUCCCGGAUUAUUUUGAAUCCAGAAGAUAUUAAAAUGUAAAUAUUUUACUAGUUUAUGGGUGACAUCUGAAAUAAUACACAUUAUACGUAUAUAAAUUACAGAAAUAUCAAGAGUUUACUAUAUGAUAUAAUUUCAGUAUUAACUGGUUAUCUCUUUUAUAUGUAAUCCCUUGAUGCCUUUUAUUAUUAAUUUUUGCAUUUAAAAUGUUUUUUUUUCCCUUGCCCACAUUUGGUUUCUGUACAAGAGCUCACAACUAUAAAUCAUGUUCAAUCACAUAAUAUAUGAUCUGGUGCUAGUAACGUAGAAGUUGAAUAUCAUAUUUGUUAAGAGCAUCUGUGCUUUUUAAGUUUCAAGGGUUUGACAGGAAAUGAAUGCAAACGUGAUGCUUAAUUUGGAUGUCCAAGUUACAUUGACAACAAUAUUUUUGCUACAUUGGCUUUAUAAGAAUUUCUCUUUAGUAUCCUCUGGCAAUGGUUAGGCUAACCAUUAGUCUGAUUUAGUAAUAACUAAGCAAUGGUUAGUCAGACUCCAGAGAAAGUUACUAGGAUAUAUUGGACAUCCCAGCAGAAAACAUUUCCUUCAGAAAUGACUUUAGGGACAUGUGUCCUUGCAUCAUUGAUCUGAUUGGAGGAGACCAGGGUUCACUGUGACAAUGGAAGGAACAAGGAAUUAAUAGCUCAAGAGCAUGACUGCUUUCAAGAAAGUGGGACCAGUGGCAUUGUAGCCACCAUAAUCACUAUAUUUAAGUAACUUUUCAUGUGUAUGCUUGUUUCCCCAAGAAAAUGAGAAAUAAACAUUCAACUAGACCAGUUUACAUAUUUUAAUACACUAAAUGCCAAUCUUUCUAAAAGUUUAGAUCCAUUAAUAAACUAUGUAUUUCUUGUUAAUUUUUUCAAACUGGUUAUCACCACAUUUCUGGGUCAUAAUCUUCUGUAUGUGAUCAUCACACCCAUUCUUACUGAUUAUGACACCAUGACCAAAGAAUUAUGAUCAUGUUUCAUUUUAUUUUGUUUCAAGAAAGAGACAGGAAAUGCAGGGGAUGAGGGAUGGGGUGGAUUCAAUUUUAUGUGGUGGUGAAAUUUAAGUUAAAAAAAUCAUAUAUAUCUUUUAAGAAGAACUUGUUAGUUGAAUAUAAAUAUUGCCACGAAUGAAUAAAAAAGAAACUAUCGCAUAUAUUUUGUAUAUUUAAAUUACUAUUUAUGCCUCCUAAAAUUGAUAGUAUGUGGUUCUUUGUUAACAAUCAAUUUAGUAUUAUAUUUCUGAGAGAAAAGAUGUGUUUUUGAAGUUAUUGUUAUAGCAGUUUUUCUUGUAAGGGUAUUGACAGCAAUAGUUCAGUGCUGCUCAAUAAAACCAAAUAUAACAGGAGUUAGAGAAUUUUUGUAAUCUAUAUUGCUACAAACCUAGUAAUGCUUUAUCAGUAAUAGUUUCUUUCAAAAGCCUCUUCAAUGUUAUAACAUGAUUUUCUAAUGUUUUAUAAUUAAUGUGUAUUUUGAUGUCCAAUUCAAAUUCUGAAAAAAUAAGGAAAAAGGUAAGUGGGAGCAGUGUAUGGUUGGUGUGUCUGUGAGUGUGCGUGCGUGUGUAUGUGUGUGUGUGUGAGUGUGUGUGUACAUGAACGAAUACUCAGUGGGAGAACUGUAUACAUAAAAUGCUUACUGAAGUUGCAGGUUCUGCUUGUAUAAUUCAGGUGGUAGAAAACCGGGAUCACAAAUACAGGAAAUUAUGAAGGGAUCUUAAGUAGCUUAAAUAAAACCCGCCAGCAUGUUUCACCAGCUAUAGAUUAUGUUUCAAACCAAAUAAUCUAUGAAGCACAAAUCUAAGGGUGAUGAAAAUGUGUUUAGAUAAAAUCAGAAUGGAAAUAAAAUGUGUUUAUGACCCAAGUUGUUAUCCUUAUUUAAGUUAUUAUGACCACAUAUACUCAAGCCUAUCAGUCAGACACAAGAUACUAAUUCUCAGCAUGUCUAUGAUACGUAUAUAUUCAGGCUCAGUAUGGUGAUGAUUAACCCUCCCUUAAAAUUUAUAUUUAGGGAACAUCUUUCUGUGGGGAGAUGCAAGUGUGUUUUUCAGAUGCGUAUCUUUCCCAUAUCACUCUGAUUUAGGCAGAAAGUUUAUUUAAUGUUGGCCAUUUGUCAAGAAGGAAACAAAAGUACUAAAAUGAUCUGUGUUGGAUUAAACCAUUCCCGUUUGUUCUAUCAAACUUAUGCUAGGGCCAGGUUUCAUGCACUCCUUUUUCAAAUGCAUUAUUUUCUGAGGCGGUAACUUGUUUGAAAAUUUGACCUUAGGCAACCAUUUUCAUUUAUUUCCGCAAAUCUCUACUUAAGUGGAAAGUGACUGAAAGAUCUGGAAAAGUGGCUUCACUGAGAUUUGACUCAAGAACUGUUAUUCUGUGCCUAUACGAUUGUCCAUUGUGGCAAUAAUCAUUCCAUGAUCAAUUUCCUUUUUGUGUAGUGUUUCUCUAAAUGGAGAAAAGGAGAUCAUUAGUAUGUAAAGAAAAAUAAGCUGACUCUCUGAAAGUAAUCAACUGGGACACUUCAAUAUAUUAAUUUGGUCAGAAUAUAGCCUACAGAUAGCCAGAACACUAUGCCAUGAUAAAGCUCAUAUUUCUAGCAGUGCCAAAGAACAAAUCAUAUCAUGGCCUGGUUAUCAGGUUGAAAGAGCUCAUACUUAUGAAAAAUGGUCCUUUCACAGCAAAUUUCAUAGAAACAGAAUUUUAUUGGAUGUCACAAGAUGCUUUUAUAUGUGAAACACUCCUUAGCAGAGAAGAUAUAAAUUUCUUUAGAAUUGAUGAAAAGAAAAUAUAAAAAUCUGCAUUUAUUUCAAUCGCAGAAGCCAGCAUCCUCUGAGGUAUAAGAGUAGUCUAUUACAUAAACACCGCCCACAUCUCUCCCAUGUUUAUGCUACUGAAGCAAGCUUGGCGCCAAAUGUGAUGGAUUUGUGUAACUGAAAGUUAAUACUCACCCAUGUAAAAUAAUUAGAAAAGUAAAACAAAACGUCCGGAGAUUUAAAUUUGUAGUUUUAAAGUAUUAUAUAUUCAAAUACAUGCCAAUUGUGUGGAGACAACUAGAUACAACUUUACUUUCCAAACUAGUGACAAAAUUUUCUUUGAAUGCUUCUAGAGAAUAAAAGAAUGUUUUUAUUACUACAUUUUGUUGGUAGGUCUUGCCUAUACAUGGAAUUUAGUUUGAUUCUUUUGAGCAAAUCUAGUGACUACGUCAAUAAAACUAAAGCCAUUGGGUUAUUAUUUUAACUAAUUAAAUAAGACAUCAACACAAUGCACGUACAAAUGCAAUUUUAAUAUCACUUCCAUGUUAAGACAAGUCAGCUUCCUAAAGUAGAAAAGAGCUUGUAAAAUAACUACACUCACAUGUGAAAUUAAGAAACAAUUCCUACGAUUUAAGCAGUAAGUUAUCCGAGAUGAGAGGGAAUUCACACUUGCAAAGAAAUAGAAGUAGAAUAGAUAGCAAUUCACAAUUCAUUGUGUCCCAAACUUAAGUGGAAAUAAAAGAAAAAUGGUACCUAUAGCAUUUAACAUUAUGUCACUACAUCUUCCAUGUAUACAAAAUAGACAGCUAAUUGUAGAAUGUGGACCAUUUGUUACUAAUCUGUUAUUUAACAGUUGAUUAUUGAGCAAACUUAUGUAUCAGGCAUUUAAAAAUUCUAAAGCACUUGGUGUUAAACAUUGAAAAAGAUGUUGUCCCACCCUUCAAGGAGCUUAAUUAUGCAAUCAUCAAUAUUUUCAAAAUAAAGCCAAUUGUUUUUAAGAAGAUAUACAAUUGUGUUUACAUAUGGCAUUCUCUUUUUUUUCAGAUCAAGUGUAUAGUCAAGGUAAAAUUCUAAACAUACUAAACUUAAUGUCUAAGUAUAGAAUAUGUUUAUGUGUAAGCCUCGAUGUGUGCAUAUAUAAUAUGUACUGCUGUCUAUGUAAAUCAUUAAAAGGGUAACACAUUUUGCCAUGUUGGACUUGAACAUUGUGACUUGGGGUUUGGAUGAUUUAAAACUCUUUGAUAUUUGGGUCAAUUACAUUGCAGCAAAAUGUGUGUAAUAUGGAAAAAAUGUCUUAUUAUAUUUCCCUUUAAAUAUUAUGAAGUUUCAAAUUUAAGGGGAAUUUUUUUAAAGAAAUGCUGUUGGAUUUGUCUCAACCAAAUGUGAAAAUUCUUUUGAAGUGUUCAAUUGUUCCCAAAUAUAACUGGGUUUGCCCACCCUAAAAGCAUCUACAUUUACACAUGUAUACACCCACGUACAGUAUACAUACUGUAUAUAAUAUAUAUGAAAAUGUUUAGUAUGCACUUCUUUUGAUUGGAACUCCUUAACAUUUAUAGUGUAGCAACUUGUGUAAAGUGCACUGUGAUUAUAAAAAACAAAGCACAGUAAAGUCACAGGUCUUGUUAUCUUGCACUAAAAAUGUGUUUACGUAUUUAGCAGUUGUAUGUUUACUUUCUUGCUCUUUCAGACAUUGAAACAAAUAGCUAUGAGAAGAUGAUAUAAAAAUAAUAUGUUUUUUAGUGGAUAACGGCACUACAUUUUUAAAAGACAGGGUUUUUAAAGAAAACCAUUUAACAUCCAUUCCAAUAUAACAUGUUUACCAUAUCUAAAAAUUUGAAUGUCAUAUUGCAUUUUUCAUAAUUCAUUAGAAAUGUCAGGUAUGUGCCUGAAAAUUUGUGCAAAUAAGCAUUAGAUAACAGAUUUCUCUACUCAUGUGUUAUUAGCCAUUUCUAUAUAUAUAAUAAUAUAAACACUGAUGUUUUAAUGUCUCUUAAUUUUUGUACUUGAUUUUUUUAGGUAACAUGUAAUUAUAAAUGUACUUUGAUACUACUGAAGUAACCAGAUGUUGUUUGAAAAUAAAUUGUUUUCUUUAGUGCAUUGACAAUAUUUUACAAUACUUUUUGUGAUUAUUUAUUUGUGCUCCCGUGUAAUUAUAAUAAAAGCAAUAGUUUAAAUUA